CAAGUCGAGCGGAUGAGGGGAGCUUGCUCCCUGAUUUAGCGGCGGACGGGUGAGUAAUGCCUAGGAAUCUGCCUGGUAGUGGGGGAUAACGUUCCGAAAGGAACGCUAAUACCGCAUAACUUCCUACGGGAAAAAGCAGGGGACCUUCGGGCCUUGCGCUAUCAGAUGAGCCUAGGUCGGAUUAGCUAGUUGGUGAGGUAAUGGCUCACCAAGGCGACGAUCCGUAACUGGUCUGAGAGGAUGAUCAGUCACACUGGAACUGAGACACGGUCCAGACUCCUACGGGAGGCAGCAGUGGGGAAUAUUGGACAAUGGGCGAAAGCCUGAUCCAGCCAUGCCGCGUGUGUGAAGAAGGUCUUCGGAUUGUAAAGCACUUUAAGUUGGGAGGAAGGGCUGCUGGUUAAUACCCUGCAGUUUUGACGUUACCAACAGAAUAAGCACCGGCUAACUUCGUGCCAGCAGCCGCGGUAAUACGAAGGGUGCAAGCGUUAAUCGGAAUUACUGGGCGUAAAGCGCGCGUAGGUGGUUUUGUAAGUUGGAGGUGAAAUCCCCGGGCUCAACCUGGGGGAACGGCCUUCCAAAACUGCAUGACUAGAGUACGGUAGAGGGUGGUGGAAUUUCCUGUGUAGCGGUGAAAUGCGUAGAUAUAGGAAGGAACAACCAGUGGCGAAGGCGACCACCUGGACUGAUACUGACACUGAGGUGCGAAAGCGUGGGGAGCAAACAGGAUUAGAUACCCUGGUAGUCCACGCCGUAAACGAUGUCAACUAGCCGUUGGAAUCCUUGAGAUUUUAGUGGCGCAGCUAACGCAUUAAGUUGACCGCCUGGGGAGUACGGCCCAAAGGUUAAAACUCAAAUGAAUUGACGGGGGCCCCGCACAAGCGGUGGGAGCAUGUGGUUUUAAUUCGAAGCAACGCGAAGAACCUUACCUGGCCUUGACAUGCUGAGAACUUUCCAGAGAUGGAUUGGUGCCUUCGGGAACUCAGACACAGGUGCUGCAUGGCUGUCGUCAGCUCGUGUCGUGAGAUGUUGGGUUAAGUCCCGUAACGAGCGCAACCCUUGUCCUUAGUUACCAGCACCUCGGGUGGGCACUCUAAGGAGACUGCCGGUGACAAACCGGAGGAAGGUGGGGAUGACGUCAAGUCAUCAUGGCCCUUACGGCCAGGGCUACCCCCGUGCUACAAUGGUCGGUACAAAGAAGGGGUGCCCAGCCGCGAGGGGCAGCUAUCCCAUAAAACCGAUCGUAGUCCGGAUCGCAGUCUGCAACUCGACUGCGUGAAGUCGGAAUCGCUAGUAAUCGUGAAUCAGAAUGUCACGGUGAAUACGUUCCCGGGCCUUGUACACACCGCCCGUCACACCAUGGGAGUGGGUUGCUCCAGAAGUAGCUAGUCUAACCUUCGGGGGGAGCGGUUACCAC
rnacentral:rRNA from 2 species